AGGACGAACGCUGGCGGCGUGCCUAACACAUGCAAGUCGAACGAGGUCCAACCGGUAGCAAUACCGGUGAAGACCAAGUGGCGAACGGGUGAGUAGCACGUGAGCAACCUACCCCGAAGACCGGGACAACACCGGGAAACCGGUGCUAAUACCGGAUAUCCCCACCGAGUCGCAUGGCUUGGUGAGGAAAUGGAUUCCGCUUCGGGAGGGGCUCGCGGCCUAUCAGCUAGUUGGUGAGGUAACGGCUCACCAAGGCUUCGACGGGUAGCUGGUCUGAGAGGACGAUCAGCCACACUGGGACUGAGACACGGCCCAGACUCCUACGGGAGGCAGCAGUGGGGAAUCUUGCACAAUGGGCGAAAGCCUGAUGCAGCAACGCCGCGUGAGGGACGAAGGCUUUCUGAGUUGUAAACCUCUUUCAGCAGGGACGAUGAUGACGGUACCUGCAGAGAGCCCGCAACUCGUGCCAGCAGCCGC
rnacentral:rRNA from 1 species